rnacentral:rRNA from 1 species
UACAGAGACUGCAAGCGUUAUUCGGAUUCACUGGGCGUAAAGGGUGCGCAGGCGGUCGGUUGAGUCAGAUGUGAAAUCCCGAGGCUCAACCUCGGAACUGCGUCUGAAACUACUCGACUAGAGUACUGGAGAGGGUAACGGAAUUCACGGUGUAGCAGUGAAAUGCGUAGAUAUCGGGAGGAACACCAGAGGCGAAGGCGGUUUCCUGGACAGUUACUGACGCUCAGGCACGAAAGCAUGGGGAGCAAAAGGG